rfam:Apaloderma vittatum contig10646, whole genome shotgun sequence.
GGCCGGUUAGCUCAGUCAGUUGAGCGUGGCGCUGACAACGUCAAGGUCGUGGGUGCAAUUUCCGUUCGGUCC